GGUUCAUUCUGAACAUAUGAAGAUUUUUUUGAACAUCUUUGAGAGAAAUAAAAGCACGCAAAUGGAACUCCACCAGUCAAGACCAGAAAGGCAGCUAAUGUAAACCCAAGCGGUGCUUGGUACCAGUUGAAUUACAGAAAACAUUGACAUAAUGUCUCGGAGAUGUUAAUAUAAAUUAGUACAUACUUUUGAUAGAUGGGAUGGCAAACAUUAGUCAUGUAUGUUUUUAACUAAGGACAUUCAACAAAUUGUCUGACAUUAAAAGUUCGAUCUCAAGCAGA